UACGGAGGGUGCAAGCGUUAUCCGGAAUCACUGGGUUUAAAGGGUGCGUAGGCGGCCCGAUAAGUCAGUUGUGAAAUAUCCUCGCUUAACGAGGGGACUGCGAUUGAUACUGUCAGGCUUGAAUUGGGUUGAGGCAGGCGGAAUGUGGCAUGUAGCGGUGAAAUGCAUAGAUAUGCCAUAGAACACCGAUUGCGAAGGCAGCCUGCUGGGCCUUGAUUGACGCUGAGGCACGAAAGCGUGGGGAGCAAACAGG
rnacentral:rRNA from 1 species